AUUGAACGCUGGCGGCAGGCCUAACACAUGCAAGUCGAGCGAGCGGCGGACGGGUGAGUAAUGUCUGGGAAACUGCCUGAUGGAGGGGGAUAACUACUGGAAACGGUAGCUAAUACCGCAUACCAUCAGAUGUGCCCAGAUGGGAUUAGCUAGUCGGUGGGGUAACGUCUCACCUAGGCGACGAUCCCUAGCUGGUCUGCGAGGAUGACCAGCAAAACGGGAAAUGAGAAACGGUCCAGACUCCUACGGGAGGCAGAAGUGGGGAAUAUUGCACAAUGGGGGAAAGCCUGAUGCAGCCAUGCCGCGUGUGUGAAGAAGGCCUUCGGGCUGUAAAGCACUUUCAGCGGGGAGGCGUUACCCGCAGAAGAAGCACCGGCUAACUCCGUGCCAGCAGCCGCGGUAAUAC
rnacentral:rRNA from 1 species